rnacentral:tRNA from 1 species
GGUUGUGGCUCAGUGAUAGAGCACUUGCCUAGCAUGCAUGAGACACUGGGUUCGAUCCUCAGUACCA